rnacentral:lncRNA from 1 species
UGUUGCCGCUGAGCUCGGAGGAGAGGCGCUUGGCGAGGUCCUCGUGGUACAUGGUUUUGUACUCCUGUUUGAGGUAGGCUCGCUGGGUGGCGUCGCGGUGGGCGAGGAUGUUGAUGACGGCGGAUGUGUCACAGCCCAACCCUUUGAAGGCGCGGUGGAGGCUGAUAGCGUCGUCCCUGGGGGUGGUUAGCACCGGCGGUACGGUCACAGAGGCCAUUGGUUUUGUUUCUGCAACUAGAAUCGAUGAAAUUUUGAGACCAAGUUUAUGAAUUGUGGGAUUAAAUUGGAAAAUAUUGAGAUAAUAUAAAG